AGGGUUGUGGCUCAGUGGUAGGGCAUAUGCUCUGUGUUCAAAAGGUCUCAAGUUCAAUCCCUGGCAUCUCCA